CAGACCGACAUAUUGUUCCCCAUAUGGCAACAGCGCAAACUGGCCCAGGUGUUACAGGAUGCAGGUAACGACGCCGUUACCUUUUACGAACUCAACUCCAUGUACGGCCAUGACACAUUCCUCCUAGAUCUGAACGGCGUCGGCACUGCAGUGAAGGGCUUCCUGGAGACUGACAUGUCUGAGAGAGGAAUAUUGGCCAAGGAAGCAG